rnacentral:rRNA from 1 species
GUGAACGCUGGCGGUAGGCCUAACACAUGCAAGUCGCACGGCAGCACAGUAAGAGCUUGCUCUUACGGGUGGCGAGUGGCGGACGGGUGAGGAAUACAUCGGAAUCUACUUUUUCGUGGGGGAUAACGUAGGGAAACUUACGCUAAUACCGCAUACGACCUACGGGUGAAAGCAGGGGAUCUUCGGACCUUGCGCGAUUGAAUGAGCCGAUGUCGGAUUAGCUAGUUGGCGGGGUAACGGCCCACCAAGGCGACGAUCCGUAGCUGGUCUGAGAGGAUGAUCAGCCACACUGGAACUGAGACACGGUCCAGACUCCUACGGGAGGCAGCAGUGUGGAAUAUUGGACAAUGGGCGCAAGCCUGAUCCAGCCAUACCGCGUGGGUGAAGAAGGCCUUCGGGUUGUAAAGCCCUUUUGUUGGGAAAGAAAAGCAGCAGGUUAAUACCCCGCUGUUCUGACGGUACCCAAAGAAUAAGCACCGGCUAACUUCGUG